rnacentral:rRNA from 1 species
AUUGAACGCUGGCGGAAUGCUUUACACAUGCAAGUCGAACGGCAGCACGGACUUCGGUCUGGUGGCGAGUGGCGAACGGGUGAGUAACAUAUCGGAACGUAUCCAAUAAUGGGGGAUAACGAGUCGAAAGAUUCGCUAAUACCGCAUACGCCCUACGGGGGAAAGCUGGGGACCUUCGGGCCUGGCGUUAAUGGAGCGGCCGAUAUCUGAUUAGCUAGUUGGGGAGGUAAAGGCUCACCAAGGCGACGAGCAGUAGCUGGUCUGAGAGGACGACCAGCCACACUGGAACUGAGACACGGUCCAGACUCCUACGGGAGGCAGCAGUGGGGAAUUUUGGACAAUGGGCGCAAGCCUGAUCCAGCCAUUCCGCGUGAGUGAAGAAGGCCUUCGGGUUGUAAAGCUCUUUCGCAAGGGAAGAAAACUUAGCCACUAACAUUGGUUGAGGUUGACGGUACCUUGAUAAGAAGCACCGGCUAACUACGUGCCAGCCGCCGCCGUAA